AAUCCCAAGUGCGAGGGCAUAUUAGCCCUCGCUUUUCUCGACUCUAAGGUGGUCGACGAAUAAGAGCUGGGCAAGACCGGUGCCAGCCGCCGCGGUAAUACCGGCAGCUCAAGUGAUGUCCCAUAUUAUUGGGCCUAAAGCGUCCGUAGCUGGCCGACCAAGUCUAUCGGGAAAUCCACCCGCCCAACGGGUGGGCGUCCGGUAGAAACUGGCCGGCUUGGAACCGGAAGGCUCAGAGAGUACGUCCGGGGUAGGAGUGAAAUCCCGUAAUCCCGGACGGACUACCGAUGGCGAAAGCACUCUGAGAAGACGGAUUCGACAGUGAGGGACGAAAGCUCGGGUCUCAAACCGGAUUAGAUACCCGGGUAGUCCGAGCCGUAAACGAUGCUCGUUAGGUGUGGCACCCACUACGAGUGGGUGCUGCGCCGUAGGGAAGCCGCUAAACGAGCCGCCUGGGAAGUACGUCCGCAAGGAUGAAACUUAAAGGAAUUGGCGGGGGAGCACUACAACCGGAGGAGCCUGCGGUUUAAUUGGACUCAACGCCGGACAUCUCACCAGCCCCGACAUCAGUAAUGACAGUCAUGUUGACGACAUCCGCUCGAGCUGAUGAGAGGAGGUGCAUGGCCGCCGUCAGCUCGUACCGUGAGGCAUCCUGUUAAGUCAGGCAACGAGCGAGAUCCACGUCCCUAAUUGCCAGCACCAUCGCACGAUGGGUGGGUACAUUAGGGAGACUGCCAGUGCUAAACUGGAGGAAGGAAUGGGCAACGGUAGGUCAGUAUGCCCCGAAUGGGCUGGGCAACACGCGGGCUACAAUGGUCAGGACAACGGGUUCCAACACUGAAAAGUGACGGUAAUCUCGCAAACCUGGUCGUAGUUCGGAUUGUGGGCUGAAACUCGCCCACAUGAAGCUGGAUUCGGUAGUAAUCGCGUGUCAGAAGCGCGCGGUGAAUACGUCCCUGCUCCUUGCACACACCGCCCGUCAAAGCACCCGAGUGAGGUCCGGAUGAGGCCACAUCACUGUGGUCAAAUCUGGGCUUCGCAA
rnacentral:rRNA from 1 species